GACGAACGCUGGCGGCGUGCUUAACACAUGCAAGUCGAACGGAAAGGCCCUGCUUUUGUGGGGUGCUCGAGUGGCGAACGGGUGAGUAACACGUGAGUAACCUGCCCUUGACUUUGGGAUAACUUCAGGAAACUGGGGCUAAUACCGGAUAGGAGCUCCUGCUGCAUGGUGGGGGUUGGAAAGUUUCGGCGGUUGGGGAUGGACUCGCGGCUUAUCAGCUUGUUGGUGGGGUAGUGGCUUACCAAGGCUUUGACGGGUAGCCGGCCUGAGAGGGUGACCGGCCACAUUGGGACUGAGAUACGGCCCAGACUCCUACGGGAGGCAGCAGUGGGGAAUAUUGCACAAUGGGCGGAAGCCUGAUGCAGCAACGCCGCGUGCGGGAUGACGGCCUUCGGGUUGUAAACCGCUUUCGCCUGUGACGAAGCGUGAGUGGCGGUAAUGGGUAAAGAAGCACCGGCUAACCACGUG
rnacentral:rRNA from 1 species